UUUAUGAGCAAGAAAUAAUAUUUAGGUACGAGAAUAAAAAACAAGAAAGAGAUAUUUAGAACGAGAAAGGGGAACAAAAAAUUAUUGAAGAGCGAAAAGUAGAUAAAGUGAGGAAUUUGGAUAUUACGAUUAAGCGAGAACACGUAACUAAGGACGAGAAAUGGAAAUGAGAGAACUUCACAGCAAACUAGCCUUGCGGGCAGAUGGGGGUAUUUAGUAAUUUCGCAAGACACUGAUCAUUAGACAAUACUGGUUAGAAUUUGCAUCCCCGGUCACAUCUCAUUUGGAGGCCUUCCGUACAAAAUCCCCUUCCCACUAGAUGCCGCCGGCGAUGCAUCCAAAUCAAAGCCGGCUCCGGUUUCCGUUGGGGAUACGUUGCCGGACGGGGCAUCAGCCUACUACUUCGACGAGGACUAUAAGCUCCCGCAAGAAUCUGUACACUUCCUCGCCACCGGCAAAAAGGUUUUACCAAGGCAAGUUUGGAGACAGGCCUGAUCCAUUUGGUGCAUUGUAAUCCCAGCAUUGCAUAUAUUGGCUAUAGCUCGUGUGUAUUUCAUCCCAUAGCUGGACAUUCUGUUGCAGUGUUUCUCAUAGAUUUUUACCUGUAUUAUAGAGAUUAUUGCAUUGACAAAGUUUCUGAUGGUAUAAAAUAAGUUUGGAGUUGAAAAAUAGGACUUACAAAUGUCUUGAAGCAGUGCCAAUCAUCAACCAGGGAUUGCCCUUGCGCCCUAACAUUGUGAAGUAUUUCUGAGCUCCUUGCUUGUCCAAACAGAAGUUUGCCAAUGCUAUUUAUACUAUUGUCAGCAUGCCUUCUUUUGAAAAUUUCAUCCUCUAACUGUUCUCUAGCCUCCAUCUUUUCUCUAGACCCAAAUGGAGCUUCUUGAAACUGUUCAAAGCAAAAGUCUAGACACUUAGACUAUGCAGUAGAUUGGAACAUAAUUGAAUAUAUACGUUGUUGGAUAAAUCAUACCUUGUACUGAUAAUGAAUGAGACUAGCAUCGCGCUGGCUUACUGAAUUUGAUGACAAUUUUGACAGCGAUGAAAUAGUUUGAGGACUCUGAACAGAGUAUUUAUAGUUGUCAUAAUCAGGGCUAUUACCAAGAAAGGUGUCAAGGAAAUCAUUGCCGAUCCUUUUGUUCCCAUACAACAUUACAUGAGAACCAUAGCCAGACUUAUCAACAAAAGUUCUUCUUCGAACCUGCAGUUUGGAAAUGUACAAGGAAAUGUUUAUUAGUGGUGCGAUUUAAGAAGAUUGAGUUCAUUUAAGAAUUAGGAAGCUUACCGCAUGAUAUUGUUGGUUCAAAGUUUCUUUGCUCAAAUCAUGCUUGUCACUGCGCAUUAUGGCACAACACAGAUUUAUUUAAGAUGAUUAGAGAAUGACUAUGUAGACUUGAAACCGAUGUUACAAGGGCCUGAAUAUAGGAACUCGAACUUGGAUGCAUACUAUGUUAAAAACUUAAAAUACAACCGAACUCAAAAGCUUAAAGGGAUGAGUUAAUUUAAUUAUAUCAAUUCUUUAAUAUAGAUAAAAGGUGUUGAAAUAAAAUAUUGCCUGUCUUCCAUCCAAGCGACGCUGAACAAAUCUCCAAGGCAAGUGUUAUAGUCUUUGGGAGAACGAUGAGACUGCUUAGGACAAUAUGUUGCCCAACUAUCCUCUGUUGCAUUUGAUGCCGUUGUUGCAUAUAUCUUUAUGUUUUCUGGAAGUACUCCUUCAAACAUACUCCCGGACUCACAUGCUUCCACAUAUAUUACCUGAAUUUUUAUGUUAACUAAUUGUAACUUUGAUAUACAGUUUGAACUUCGUAAUUAUUGUUCUAUGAUCUAUAUUCCAUAUUUUAGUACCAUGCUUUUGUAAUUCUUGGCUUUAUGUUUCCUUUUCAGCACAUCUAUUAGAUCGUUGACAAAAAUAUAAUCGCCUUCAGGCAUUCCUGCAAUCAUGUGGAACAAAAUACAGCCAAAUUUAAUAAGGAAGUUAAGGAAGUUCAAGGUUGACCAGUUUGAAUUGUAUUUUCUAAGGAUUUAGAGAAUCAAUCCAAACAGACCCUUAAUUUGUUGAGGCGAAAAGUAGUAGUAAGUAUAAACUUAUUACCGAGCAUCCCAGCAGCACCAUGGUCGGAGUAGUAGAUGAAAAUAUGAUCCUGAGGGCCACUAUGAAUAACCUUACCACUUCCUCCAGUCAGAGCAGACUUGUUUCCCAAUAUGGCAGCAUAAAAGUUGACUGCAUUCACAUGCUUUCCUGUAUAGUCCUUGGGAACUCCAUGGUAAACAUCAUUUCCAUCUGGUUUGUUGAUAAUGAUUCCUGGCCUUGGAUUGCUCGGAUGAAAUGCAAUAUCAUCGUACAUGAAAACUAUUAUGUUUUCAUCAGGGAUUCCACCCUUUUUCAGUAUUUGAUAUGCGUGGCAUACAUCCGCCUAGGUUUUUGGUUUUUUAUAUAAAAAAGAAGAAGGUCGUUACUAUUUAUUAGUAGGAGAGCGAGUGGUUGGAAUAAUUAUUCAAUGAGUUUGUUGCAUUAUAUAUAUUGUAAAUCUAAGAAGCCGGUUAUGAAUACAAGACAUGAUGAUGUGUCAUUUUCUUUAAA